UACAUGUUAUGGAUGUGUGUUCUAUUAACUUUGUUUAUUAGGACCGUAUCGAUAUGAGUGUCCCUCGAGAUCACCACCUUUUUAUGACUGUGUGAGUUCGACGAGACCACCAGUCUGUCAUGAUAUGUAACUUUGUGAGUGAUCCGACAAGGUCACUUACAACCCGAUUCUCUUUAGGUGUUGCUUCAGGUUUAUUGAAGACCAGUUUCUCUUAGGUGUUCCUUCGGGUUCACCAAAGACUAGUUUCUUUAGGUGUUCGUUCGGGUUCACUGAAGACCAGUUUCUCUUAGGUGUUCCUUUGGGUUCACCAAAGACUAGAUGCGUUCCUACAAGAUCAGUAGAUUACGUGUGUUCGGGAGUACAAUAGUUUUGGAGCAUUUACUUAUUGGACCUUAAUGGAAAGUUAACCCCUAGCAGAACUAGUGGUAGAUCCCUUAGGGGCUGUUUGGGAGGAAGUUUAACAAUGUGGGGGUUAGGUUAUGUUAAUCCUAACCCCCGUUUGGAAGUAAGGUUAUGGAAACCCUAGUUUUAGGGUUUCCAUAACACGGGUUGUGCCUUCAAAAUCUUUCAUUCUGUCUGUCAAUUUGUCUCCCUCGUGGUUCUCCUUCAACCCAUGUUAACCCAUCUCAUUCAACCCGUGUUUCCAUUUGAUCCCUCCUACCCCUUCUAUUCUGAUUUCACUUCUUCUUUCUUCUUUCUUCUUGUUCUUUCUCCCUAUUUCCCUUUGAUUCCGUUUUUACUUUCUUCUAGUUGCGGUUUGGUCUUCGAUUUCAAUUUCGAUUCUGAUUCUGAUUUAUAAGGAGAAGGCAGGUGACUUGGGUCUUGGGGAGUUGAUUGAUGGCGGCGAUUCGAGUGUCGGUCAAAUUUUUCAUUGUAAUGUUAACCCCACUUCUCAAAGUUUAGUGAAGCAUACCUACAUAGCUUUCAUCUAUGAAGAAGCGCAUUGUUAUUGCUCUCCAAUCUAAUCAGUUAACUAGUACAAUCUCUGCAUGCUUGGGACGUUUGGACUUGUUAGUGAGAGUAGACUUGAGCUCCAAUCAUCUGUUUGGUUUCGUUCCUUGAAGGCUCGUUGAUGCGCCUUCGCUUGAAGUUCUUGAUGUUCGAAACAAUACCCUCUCUGGCAAUGUACCUCCUGGUACCAAUUGAUCUUUAAACCAUUUUAUCAUGAAGAUGUAUACUUGGUAGAAAUUGGCUAUAAAAAAUAUUUAUGUUAUUCAACCACAUUCAAUAAUACUGUUUUGGUUAAAAUAA